CAAUAGCGUAUAUUUAAGUUGUUGCAGUUAAAAAGCUCGUAGUCGGAUUUUGGCUGAGAACGAUCGGUCCGCCGUUAGGUGUGCACUGAUUGGUCUCAGCUUCCUGGUGAGGAGGUGUGCUUCACGGCCACUUAGUCACCGUGGUUACUUUGAAAAAAUUAGAGUGUUCAAAGCGGGCUUACGCUUGAAUAUAUUAGCAUGGAAUAACACCAUAGGACUCCUGUCCUAUUUCGUUGGUCUCGGGACGGGAGUAAUGAUUAAGAGGAACAGUUGGGGGCAUUCGUAUUUCAUUGUCAGAGGUGAAAUUCUUGGAUUUAUGAAAGACGAACUUCUGCGAAAGCAUGUGCCAAGGAUGUUUUCAUUGA
rnacentral:rRNA from 1 species